GAUGAACGCUGGCGGCGUGCCUAAUACAUGCAAGUCGAGCGAAUGGAUUAAGAGCUUGCUCUUAUGAAGUUAGCGGCGGACGGGUGAGUAACACGUGGGUAACCUGCCCAUAAGACUGGGAUAACUCCGGGAAACCGGGGCUAAUACCGGAUAACAUUUUGAACCGCAUGGUUCGAACUUGAAAGGCGGCUUCGGCUGUCCCUUAUGGAUGGACCCGCGCCGCAUUAGCUAGUUGGUGAGGUAACGGCUCACCAAGGCAACGAUGCGUAGCCGACCUGAGAGGGUGAUCGGCCACACUGGGACUGAGACACGGCCCAGACUCCUACGGGAGGCAGCAGUAGGGAAUCUUCCGCAAUGGACGAAAGUCUGACGGAGCAACGCCGCGUGAGUGAUGAAGGCUUUCGGGUCGUAAAACUCUGUUGUUAGGGAAGAACAAGUGCUAGUUGAAUAAGCUGGCACCUUGACGGUACCUAACCAGAAAGCCACGGCUAACUACGUGCCAGCCGCCGCAGUAA
rnacentral:rRNA from 1 species